rnacentral:rRNA from 1 species
UACGAAGGUGGCAAGCGUUGUUCGGAUUUACUGGGCGUACAGGGAGCGUAGGUGGUUGGGUAAGCCCUCCGUGAAAACUCCAGGCUUAACCUGGACAGUGCAGAGGGUACUGCCUAGCUAGAGGACGGGAGAGGAGCGCGGAAUUCCCGGUGUAGCGGUGAAAUGCGUAGAGAUCGGGAGGAAGGCCGGUGGCGAAGGCGGCGCUCUGGAACGUUUCUGACACUGAGGCUCGAAAGCGUGGGGAGCAAACAGG